CGUAAUAGCUCACUGGUCGAGUCGGCCUGCGCGGAAGAUGUAACGGGGCUAAACCAUGCACCGAAGCUGCGGCAGCGACGCUUAUGCGUUGUUGGGUAGGGGAGCGUUCUGUAAGCCUGCGAAGGUGGCCUGUGAGGGUUGCUGGAGGUAUCAGAAGUGCGAAUGCUGACAUAAGUAACGAUAAAGCGGGUGAAAAGCCCGCUCGCCGGAAGACCAAGGGUUCCUGUCCAACGUUAAUCGGGGCAGGGUGAGUCGACCCCUAAGGCGAGGCCGAAAGGCGUAGUCGAUGGGAAACGGGUUAAUAUUCCCGUACUUGGUGUUACUGCGAAGGGGGGACGGAGAAGGCUAUGUUGGCCGGGCGACGGUUGUCCCGGUUUAAGCGUGUAGGUGUGUGUUCCAGGUAAAUCCGGUUCACUUUAACACUGAGGCGUGACGACGAGGCACUACGGUGCUGAAGCAACAAAUGCCCUGCUUCCAGGAAAAGCCUCUAAGCAUCAGGUAACAUCAAAUCGUACCCCAAACCGACACAGGUGGUCAGGUAGAGAAUACCAAGGCGCUUGAGAGAACUCGGGUGAAGGAACUAGGCAAAAUGGUGCCGUAACUUCGGGAGAAGGCACGCUGACAC
rnacentral:rRNA from 1 species